GACGAACGCUGGCGGCGUGCUUAACACAUGCAAGUCGAACGAAGUGGCGAACGGGUGAGUAACGCGUAAUCAACCUGCCCUUCAGAGGGGGACAACAGUUGGAAACGACUGCUAAUACCGCAUACUGAAGGAGGGGAUUGCGUCUGAUUAGCUAGUUGGAGGGGUAACGGCCCACCAAGGCGAUGAUACGGAGCCUGUCUGAGAGGAUGAACGGCCAACUUGGGACUGGGAAACGGCCCAAGCGCCUACGGGAGGCAGCAGUUGGGAAUCUUCCGCAAUGGACGAAAGUCUGACGGAGCAACUCCGCGUGAGUGAUGACGGCCUUCGGGUUGUAAAGCUCUGUUAAUCGGGACGCGGUACCGGAAUAGAAAGCCACGGCUAACUACGUGCCAGCAGCCGCGGUAAUUC
rnacentral:rRNA from 1 species